GAUGAACGCUGGCUACAGGCUUAACACAUGCAAGUCGUGGGGAAACGGCAUUAUGUGCUUGCACAUUCUGGACGUCGACCGGCGCACGGGUGAGUAUCGCGUAUCCAACCUGCCCCUUACUUGGGGAUACCCCGUUGAAAGACGGCCUAAUACCCGAUGUGUUUCAUUGACGGCAUCCGAUAUGAAACAAAGGUUUUCCGGUAAGGGAUGGGGAUGCGUCUGAUUAGCUAGUUGGCGGGGCAACGGCCCACCAAGGCAACGAUCAGUAGGGGUUCUGAGAGGAAGGUCCCCCACAUUGGAACUGAGACACGGUCCAAACUCCUACGGGAGGCAGCAGUGAGGAAUAUUGGUCAAUGGACGCAAGUCUGAACCAGCCAAGUAGCGUGCAGGAUGACGGCCCUAUGGGUUGUAAACUGCUUUUAUGUGGGAAUAAAGUGGCGCACGUGUGCGCCAUUGCAUGACCUCAUGAAUAAGACCG
rnacentral:rRNA from 1 species